rnacentral:lncRNA from 1 species
AGGCAUGGAGAUCCAAAAGACCAAAAACAUCAUUCCACCUCUCCACACCAUGCCAUCAUUCUGCUUCUCUUUUACCUUGCCACUACAAGAAUUGAAGUAGAAGCAAAGCCUCACCACCAUUUUGUUUGCUUGCUUACUCUUUGCAUCUUCUAUAUAUAUGCAAGCAAUCCAAGAACGCAAGCUCAUCUGCGAAUUUGAUUUGAUGAGCUAGCUCAGGCUCCGGAAAGAUCAUGGCAGUGGCAAUGGCGGCGGCGGCGGCGGCGAUGGUGUUUCUUUUGGUGGCGCCUAACCUUGCACAGGCCGAGGAGCGGCCGACG